UACGGAAGGGGCAAGCGUUGUUCGGAAUCAUUGGGCGUAAAGGGCGCGUAGGUGGUUCUGUAUGUCUACCGUGAAAGCGUACGGCUCAACCGUAUUUUGUCGGUGGAAACUGCAGGACUUUGAGGCUGGGAGGGGCUGGUGGAAUUCCCUGUGUAGCGGUGAAAUGCGCAGAUAUCAGGAGGAACACCGGUGGCGAAGGCGGGUCUCUGGGCCGAUACUGACGCUGAGGAGCGAAAGCGUGGGGAGCGAACAGG
rnacentral:rRNA from 1 species